rnacentral:rRNA from 1 species
GACGAACGCUGGCGGCGUGCCUAAUACAUGCAAGUCGAACGCAGUGGGGACGGGUGCGUAACACGUGGGUAACCUCCCAUCAGAGGGGAUAACACUUGGAAACAGGUGCUAAACCGAUACUGAUGGAUGGACCCGCGGUGCAUUAGCUAGUUGGUGAGGUAACGGCUCCCCAAGGCAGCGAUGCAUAGCCGACCGGAGAGGUGAUCAGGCCAAACGGGACUGAGACACGGCCCAGACUCCUACGGGAGGCAGGAGUAGGGAAGUGACGGCAAUGGAGGCAAGUCUGACCGAGCAACGCCGCGUGAGUGAAGAAGGUUUUCCGAUCGUAGAACUCUGUUGUGAGAGAAGCGGUAGCUAACCAGAAAGCAACGGCUAACUACGUGCAAGCAGCCGCGGUAAUUC